CUUACAUGCUGACUGUGCCCUCCUUAGAGUCGUCCGGUGGGUGGAAAGAGUGUGUUGUUGUUUGCGGGACACAGUCAGUGCAUGGUGUUCUGGUCCACCUCUGUUUCCAAACGGUGCCCAGCGGUUGCUCUAUUGCUGCCACCUCCAUUCUCCAACUAGUGAGGGACGCGGCGGCCAUCUUGGGUUUCGCCAUGCGGUCCAUAGUCUUUCGGCUCGCCGCCCAAGCGUCAUGAGUGAUUGCUUCUCCGGUG